UACAGAGGUCUCAAGCGUUGUUCGGAUUCAUUGGGCGUAAAGGGUGCGUAGGCGGCGCGGUAAGUCGGGUGUGAAAUCUCGGAGCUUAACUCCGAAACUGCAUUCGAUACUGCCGUGCUUGAGGACUGCAGAGGAGAUUGGAAUUCCUGGUGUAGCGGUGGAAUGCGCAGAUAUCAGGAGGAACACCAAUAGCGAAGGCAGCUCGCUGGGACGGUACUGACGCUAAGGCACGAAAGCGUGGGGAGCAAACAGG
rnacentral:rRNA from 1 species